CAGGGGUCUGAUUGGGGUGAGUUACCGGGGUAGAGGGGCCCGUGGAUGUGACCCAGGGCAGGAUACCAGGGUAGAUGGGCCCAGGGGUCUGAUUGGGGUGAGUUACCGGGGUAGAGGGGCCCAUGGAUGUGACCCAGGGCAGGAUACCAGGGUAGAUGGGCCCAGGGGUCUGAUUGGGGUGAGUUACCGGGGUAGAGGGGCCCGUGGAUGUGACCCAGGGCAGGAUACCAGGGUAGAUGGGCUCAGGGGUCUGACUGGGGUGAGAUACCGGGGUAGAGGGGCCCGUGGAUGUGACCCAGGGCAGGAUACCAGGGUAGAUGGGCCCAGGGGUCUGAUUGGGAUGGGAUACUGGGGUAGAAGAGCCCAUGGGUCUGAUCUGACAGGGGGUGGGGGUGGGGCUGUGUGCAGUGCGCGGGGCUGUGUUGGGCAGCAGCACAGGAAGCCGAGGCAGGAAGCCUGAGGCUACGAAGCCGGAAGCCUCUUGGGCUCCUGAUAAGGCCACCUGAUGGGGAGUGAGGC